AGCAGCCGCGGUAAUUCCAGCUCCAAUAGCGUAUAUUAAAGUUGUUGCAGUUAAAAAGCUCGUAGUUGAAUUUCGGGAUCAAUAUGUCGGUCGUGCCUUCGGUACGUACUGGUAUCAUUGGUCUCUCCUUUCUGACGAACCAUGAUGUCAUUAAUUUGGUGUUAUGGGGAGUUAGGACUGUUACUUUGAAAAAAUUAGAGUGUUUAAAGCAAGCUAACGCUUGAAUACAUUAGCAUGGAAUAAUGAAAUAGGACGUUCGAUCCUAUUUUGUUGGUUUCUAGGAUUGACGUAAUGAUUAAUAGGGAUAGUUGGGGGCAUCAGUAUUCAAUUGUCAGAGGUGAAAUUCUUGGAUUUAUUGAAGACUAACUACUGCGAAAGCAUUUGCCAAGGAUGUCUUCAUUAAUCAAGAACGAAAGUUAGGGGAUCGAAGACGAUCAGAUACCGUCGUAGUCUUAACCAUAAACUAUGCCGACUAGGGAUCGGAUGAUGUUAAUUUUUAAUGA
rnacentral:rRNA from 1 species